AAUUCUCUGAGGUGCGCGUUAUCGGGCCAGUCCCCUGAGCCGAUAUUUCAAACCAACAGAAUGUGGAUUCUUACAAUCUGUGUGCAUGCCCGGUUCGUCCGGGAAGCCUGAUGAUAGUAAAUCUGCGUUCACCUUGAACCAAGGGUUCAAGGGUUACAGCCCGCGACGGCAUCUCGGAGAUCUC
rfam:Pragia fontium strain 24613, complete genome.